rnacentral:rRNA from 1 species
CUUUUUUGGAGAGUUUGAUCCUGGCUCAGGACGAACGCUGGCGGCGUGCCUAAUACAUGCAAGUCGAGCGAACCGAUGGAGUGCUUGCAUUCCUGAGGUUAGCGGCGGACGGGUGAGUAACACGUAGGCAACCUGCCUGUACGACCGGGAUAACUCCGGGAAACCGGAGCUAAUAC